rnacentral:rRNA from 1 species
GCUUGCUGCAUGCUUUAUACAUGCAAGUCGAACGGAGGCCCUAGCUUGCUAGGUGUCCUUAGUGGCGCACGGGUGAGUAACACGUGGGAACAUACCUUAUAGUACGGAAUAACUGCGGGAAACUGUAGCUAAUACCGUAUACUCCAGUAAUGGGAAAGAUUUAUCGCUAUAAGAUUGGCCCGCGCAAGAUUAGCUUGUUGGUGAGGUAAAAGCUCACCAAGGCUUCGAUCUUUAGCUGGUUUGAGAGGACGAUCAGCCACACUGGGACUGAGACACGGCCCAGACUCCUACGGGAGGCAGCAGUAGGGAAUAUUGGACAAUGGGGGCAACCCUGAUCCAGCAAUGCAGCGUGAGUGACGAAGGCCUUAGGGUUGUAAAACUCUUUCAUCGGUGAGGAUAAUGACAGUAGCCGAAGAAGAAGGACCGGCUAAUUCCGUGCCAGCAGCCGCGGUAAUACGGAAGGUCCUAGCGUUGUUCGGAAUUACUGGGCGUAAAGCGCAUGUAGGCGGAACAGAAAGUUAGAAGUGAAAUCCCUGGGCUCAACCUAGGAAUUGCUUUUAAAACUUCUGUUCUGGAAUUCAGGAGAGGAAAAUGGAAUUUCCAGUGUAGAGGUGAAAUUCGUAGAUAUUGGAAGGAACACCAGUGGCGAAGGCGAUUUUCUGGACUGAUAUUGACGCUGAGAUGCGAAGGCAUGGGUAGCAAACGGGAUUAGAUACCCCGGUAGUCCAUGCAGUAAACGAUGGGUGCUAGUCGUCGGACUUUUGUUCGGUGUCGUAGCUAACGCGUUAAGCACCCCGCC